AUUGAACGCUGGCGGCAGGCCUAACACAUGCGAGUCGAGCGGAUGAAGGGAGCUUGCUCCUGGAUUCAGCGGCGGACGGGUGAGUAAUGCCUAGGAAUCUGCCUGGUAGUGGGGGAUAACGUCCGGAAACGGGCGCUAAUACCGCAUACGUCCUGAGGGAGAAAGUGGGGGAUCUUCGGACCUCACGCUAUCAGAUGAGCCUAGGUCGGAUUAGCUAGUUGGCGGGGUAAAGGCCUACCAAGGCGACGAUCCGUAACUGGUCUGAGAGGAUGAUCAGUCACACUGGAACUGAGACACGGUCCAGACUCCUACGGGAGGCAGCAGUGGGGAAUAUUGGACAAUGGGCGAAAGCCUGAUCCAGCCAUGCCGCGUGUGUGAAGAAGGUCUUCGGAUUGUAAAGCACUUUAAGUUGGGAGGAAGGGCAGUAAGUUAAUACCUUGCUGUUUUGACGUUACCAACAGAAUAAGCACCGGCUAACUUCGUG
rnacentral:rRNA from 1 species